UAACCCCUUCUUUUUCUUUCCUGGUUCUCGUUGGUGCCUGAGGUGGUAGGUUUGGGUUCUGUCUCUUUAGGGCAGAAUGCCAGUUGCCAGGAGUUGGGUAUGUCGGAAGACUUACGUUACCCCCAGGCGGCCUUUUGAAAAAUCACGCCUUGAUCAGGAAUUGAAGCUUAUUGGUGAAUAUGGGCUGCGGAACAAGCGUGAGGUAUGGCGAGUGAAGUUCACUUUGGCCAAGAUCCGCAAAGCUGCCCGAGAGCUGCUCACCCUAGAUGAGAAAGAUCAGCGGCGCCUUUUUGAAGGCAAUGCCUUGCUACGCCGUUUGGUCAGAAUUGGGGUGCUGGAUGAAGGGAAAAUGAAACUGGAUUACAUCCUGGGUCUGAAAAUUGAGGAUUUCCUGGAGCGUCGUCUCCAAACCCAGGUCUUCAAAUUGGGCCUGGCUAAGUCCAUCCAUCAUGCUCGUGUUCUUAUCCGCCAGAGACACAUCCGCCUGUGCAGUGAUAACUGUGGCCCCGGCCCUGGCUUGGGCCUUUAUAUACCACCAAACCCUUUUGUGGAUCGAUUCCUUGGAUAGCUCAAUAGACUAGCAGUGUCAAAGCAACUCUCAAAGAUUUCGGCAAGGUUCACUGCGGCUUGGCCGUACACCUUGUGAAGGUCUGCUACAUAGGUGGUCAAGUGUAAGGAAGCAAGUGGUGAACAUCCCUUCCUUCAUUGUCCGGCUAGAUUCCCAAAAGCACAUUGAUUUCUCCCUCCGUUCACCUUACGGUGGAGGCCGACCAGGUCGCGUCAAGAGGAA